UAAAGGCCCUGGCCCGAGUGGAGGCCAGCCGCAUCAUUGAGGGGCCAGGGAUCUCCAGUAAAUUGGCCUCUGCCGAACGCAGAGGUCGAGCUGGGACAUAUGGGGUAAUGCGGUUUACUCUUCCUUUGAUGUUACCUCAUUCAUAACAGACCCCACAAUAUCGGUCACAUUCUGAAAUAGCUUCUUGAUUUUGCAAGCUUGGGAACUACAGAUUCUAGAAAUAAGGCCAAAUGUCCACAAUGUGGACCUAUCAAGUGUGUCCAGUGGAGAUACUGAAGAAACAUUUCCUCCUUGCUUUUGCUGCUUCUUCAGGCUUCUGAGGGGAAAACCUCCAUUUUUGUAGACACAUGCAGCUUCAUUGUGACAUUUGCUUUUCUUGUUACUGUUUGUCAGUUGUGAAGCAUGAGUUCAUGUGUGUGUUUGAAAUGGCAGAGGGGACCUUUUCCAAAUGUGGUGGCUGUGUUUUGUGUCAUGACAGAGCAUUCUUGUUACUGGACCACCACCACCAUCAUGGUGAAAUUUGUUGUUAUCCUUUGGGCAAAUAUUUGAUGCUGCAGUGUCUGAGUUUACUUCUGUGGCAUAAAGAGGAUACAACAAACAAUUAAGGUGGUCACCUCCCCCCACUCCGAACCUCAGAAUUGUCUUGUACCUGCACAAUGUACAUGUGUGUGUGUGUGUUUGUGUUUCUCCUAGAUUAAGAAGGAAAUUGAGAACAGCUUUUUUUUUUUAAAAAAAACACCCUCCUAAUUAUAGUUAUCACAAUAAUAUAUAUUUCUGUGUUUGAUGUAUUUUUUUUUUAUUUUAACAUACCCCAAGUAACCUCUGUAUGGUGUUCACUUCUCAAAGUUUGUGAAUCUGGCAUUUACCUCUAAAUGUAGCUAAUUUUUCAGAAGGCUUCCCAGAUAGUUUUUUAAUGGCGCCUACAAACAUUAUUUGGGCGCAUGCCAUCCAUGGAGGACUGGAUUCUGUAAAUGGAAGGCAUUCGUAGAGAAAUCCUGCUUCUUCCUUUUCUCCACAAACCCACCUUCCAUUUGGUGUGGUGUAAAAAGCUGAGGUGGGGGUUGAAGGGUGGGGUGUGGCGGUCUUCAGUUUGAUGGGGCUAAGCAGAAAUCAUUCCUCAAGAAACACUCCUUUGUACCUCGUCCAUUUAUGAAAGCGCUCCUCUUAGCAAGUGUGUAAGAGAGAUAAACUUUUGCUGAUUUCCCCUGGAAUAGCUGCCUCUCACGGUUCACCCAUUUUAUUCCUGAGGCUCUCCUUACCUUCAGGAGCAGCUCUUCAGUGGACUGCAGUGGGGAAAUAGAGAGAUAUUUGGCCCCUGAACUCCUUCUGUUCACAGUUUGUAAAAAUGCAAUCCACUGGCCAUGAAGAUUGACAACUGGAAUUUCUCAGAUCCCUUGAUGAUUUUCUACGGGUGUGGCAUUUGAACCUGACAGUUUUUGUCAUUGGUUAUGAUGGAUAGUUCCUGAAGGCUGGGCUGCCUUUUUUAAUUUCCAAAAGAAAACUGCCUGGGAACUAUUUUCUCCACAUUUUCUCACAUUCACUUUUAGAGAUAGCCUGGAAAGGUCAAUGUAUAGAAGAAGCUUUAAUUCCAAUUCAGACUGCAGUUUUUUGGGGGGUGCAUCUGCCUUGAUUUCUGAAAUUGGAUUUGACUUGUUUUUCUGGGGAAAAGGAUACGUUCAACCAGAACUGAAUGCAAGAGCAUCUCGAUGAGGAGAGCAGAAUAAGUCAGCUGGGUGGCCUGUGAAUUGCAUUGCGAGGUGUAUUAUUUUCUCUUCCCAAAGCAUUAUUUAUGCCUUGAUGUCAUAUACUCUUUUUAAGGGAGGAGAACAUCAAGGAGGGUCACGUAGAACAAUCCUUAAGUCUUGUGGGAAGGGGCAGAGAAGAUGGAAAGGGGUCUUUAGAACUUAACAUGGCCAUGGUUUGUAUUUGAGCCACACUGCACACGACAUUGGAGAUUUGUGAUUAAAUCCCAACAUACAAUUUAUCCUCAAAUAAAGCUCAGAUUAAAACUUGUAGCCCUGGUAAGAACAGUGUUAUACUUGUCCCUUUGCCCUGUUGUGACUAGCAGCCAGUGAAGCUUCUCUUCUGAGGCAGUUUCCUUAUAUCAGGUGUUGACGGACCCUUUCAUGUUCAGAUGUGAUGAUGCCUGGGUUAUGAGGACUGCCCAAAUAGGAUCUUUGUGCAUCCGAUUCAGGGCAAAAUGUUUGGAUGUUGCAGUGGCUUAGCUAUAAUGGGGACAUCCAGGGACAAAUGCCCCAGGCGCCCCCUGGUGAGUCACGUGGGGGGCGUAAAAUUGUCUCCUCUCCCCACCCCGUCCAGGCCUGGCAGAAGCUUUUCAGUAGACCGGGGGGGGGGGGACCGGUGUAAGUAGACCGGGGGGGGAGCACGGUGGUGGGGCACCAUUUUGUCCUGGGUUCCAUUUCCCCCCUUACGUCUCUGGGAUUUUGAAAUUGGUCCCAGCCAUUCCACCCCCACCCCCCCAUUGUUUCCCAGUUCCAUGUUUGUUCUUUGCCUAUUCAGGAACACAACUGAUCCAAACAACUGAUGCAAAAUGUGUGCACCUUGAUGUUGUGUUCUAGGAAAGGUUGGUGUUGAGGGCCAGGAAAAAAUUCCAGCCUGAGAAGCCACAAAUGGAUUCAAGUUUUGGGGCGGGUUACUGGCUACCUUACUUGAAUCUGCCAAAUAUGCACCUUAAAAUUUUCUUGGCAUAGAUAUUCUUUUUAUGGCCGUGGAAUGAUGGAGGAUCUUUCCCAGGCACCCAAAGCCCCCCAAUUGUUAGGACAGUGUUGAUAUUGUGUUAUUCAUUGUGCAUUUGUUUACUUGGCCAGUUAGUUAAUUUGAGCAGAUUAAUUAACAGUGCAAUCCUAUGCAGCAGCAUUCCAGUCUGUGCCCUCCCAAAGCAAUUUUGUAUAGGACUGAACUGGAACAGAGGUUUAGAAUUUUGCUAUUGUUUAAAAGUUCAUGCUAGAAAUACUGAGCUCUUCCAUUUUGAAACCUCUCAGCUUCUGUUCUAACUAAUAGCAGGCCAGAAAACAACCUUGCAUAGGAUUGUGAAUCAUCAUAAAUGUAUAUUUAUAGGGAGAAGUGGCAUAUAAUGUGAUGCCUGUUCAUUUAAAAACCUUUUUUUUAAUGUGCCCACUGGUUUGAGCCUGGAAUGCUUUAGCAGACUGCCAUCUAGUGUCAUCCAGGCAGAAGUGCAGCUCAGCAAAACUGGUUGAUAAAACCAACUGCAGGCUUAAUUAGUUGUUUCCAAGAACUGCUUCUUGCUUUGUUACAACUUCCUCUGCUCAUUGUGACUCAGUAUUGUCUUGAUAAUGAGGCUGUCUCUUUGCUCAUACCAAAGCCCAGAGACUGUAGGUGAGCGUUCUGUAGGAUCUCCAGGCCCUUCUUGGAGGUUGGCAACCUUAACGUUAUGGUCUGUUCUCUUAAUGCUGAAUGCAUGGGAUUAAGCAGGCCUAUAGUCAUCAGGUACGCCCAACUUUUCCCAAGCAUCUCCUAAGAUCUGUGGGGUGGUGGUGGUUUUAGGACCAGGCCUGUGUGUUGUGUAGAAGAGGUACCCCUGAACAACCGUGUAAAAUGGAGUUUAAGGGGAGUGCUGUUAAAGUGGCUCUUGUAUACUUCAUAAGAACACCAUUCACAAAAAUUAAGCGGCUGAAGCUCAUGUAUGAAAAAACGAGAGGCAUGGCUGGAAAUUCCGGUGGAUGCCUGAUAGACCCCUAGAGGUUCAGUGAUGUGGCUCCUUUCACUGUAGAGAGCAGCAGUGGGUAAUGGGCACGGGGUAACAUUGGAGCUGGCAAUCCCUACCGGAAGCGCCCGCAGCCUACCGAAUGAUGGCAUCCCAUUCUUUAAGCAUACAGAAUCUGUCUUGAGCACAUGCUGUCAAGUUUCUUCAGCAAUUUAACAUUAUUGAAGUUUAUGAGCAAUAGUUGGAUCUUAAAUUGCAUGCAGUAAAAUUACAAUACAUAUGUAAAUGAACAAAUCUGUUUUCCUUUCCAAGGGUAUGUUGACACACAGCUCCCAAGUGUGCUUUUUUUUAAAAUUCAGGCCAGAGUGUCUUUCAGCAGAGGGUGUUACCCAAUUUGGUGGUUUGCUUCCUAGUAGAUAAUUGAGGAGUUUUAGUGUAAGACCGGUGGGUAACCCAGGGUUAUUUCUACAGCUUCCUUCUAUAGUAGUUCAGAUUUUUCCCCCUAGAUGCAGCAGGAAAGACGAAGAGCCUUUCGGCAGAGAGGGUUGCUUUUAAAUUGUGCAUUGCCGUUGGUACUUCUCAUUUGUGAUGUAUGAACAUCAGCUGGAAGUGAGCGAGGGGGUCUGAACUAAUGGAUGGCCACCCGGCUUUCCCCCCAGUAUCAGCUUUGAACGGGACCAGUGGUUGCAGAAAAAAGGGAAAAUGCUGAAGAACACACUCUUCUUACCCCCCUGACAAUUGUCUAAAUUGCCUGACAAUGCCAGUUCCAAUUUGGAAGUCAGCCUCCUCUGCACCAUCUCUUACCUGGCAGCUCCUGGUUGCUGAUCACCCUCUCCUCUGCUGUCACACUGUUGGCUGCUCUGGCUUCUCUCCCUUGAUCCCUUUUCCUGCUCUGUCUCAGUGGUAGGGAGGCAAGGUCUCUUUUCCUCCCGCUUCAAAAUCUGAAAUGCUGCCCAUCUGCUUUGCAAAUGAGAAGGACUGCUGUGACAUGGCAGUUCUCCUGGGGUGCCUAGCAGCCAAGCAGAACUCCAAGCCCCAGCAAUGUUAUCGAUUGGUACGUACACAUAUCUUUCAGCCACUGGGAAAGGAACCAAGGAGAUGCAGUUGUCUUUCUCUUUCCCACAACAGGGAAAGAGGUGCUGCAGUCACCACAGAGCUCUACUUAAAACUAGACCCAGAGGAGAACACGGAGCCCAAAUGCACCUUUGCAUUGGAGAUGAGCCAGUGAAGUUUGGCAGCAGCAUCACCUUUUUGCAGUUCUGUCUCCUGGUUCCCCCCGGGGGAGGGGUUCAGUCUUGUUCAGAUUCAGGAAGGCUGGAGAGUCUGGUGCCUGCUCCUCCCCCCACCCCUGAAACAUGGAGAGGCGCAUCUACACAUGUGGAAAGCAGGAUCGUGCCAUUCUUGCUUCUCUAUGCUAGGCAUCCGUGUGUGUAUCCAUCUCAACAAGUGGCAUGGUGGGAGGAGGGGAGGGAACACAAGCAUCAUCCUUUACUCCAGCAAUGAGAUCUUCAGCUUGGGUUGACCUGGGCUGGUAUCCGUUGUUGUUCUGCUUCUAGGCCUGGUGCCUCUCACUGCUUGCAAGGCGUAGAGCGAAGAGAGGCAAUACUCCUUUAUGGAAUUGCCAAGAAUGGCCUUACCAGUGUAAGUGUUGUGUUUAGGUUACUGCAGAGAGUUUGAAUGAAACUGUAGGGCAUGUUGUAGGGUGUGGGGAGGGGAAAUGUGUUUCUCUGUGUGUAUGUGUAUCUGAUAAAGCUGAAUGCCUAAUUCAGCUAGGGAUCAGACCUACCAAAGCGCUGCAGAUGUCUCUUACAGUAUAAAUAGUGAUAAUGAACAGUACUUUUUAAAGUGUCUGAGUGCACUGUAUGGGGCCCUAGCAAAGAUGAGUCUGGACAGCUUGUUCUACUCCAGCUGAAACUCUGAAGAGGAUUUGGCAUGGGUUCUAGAUUGCCUCUCUAAUACAGUGAAAUGCUUAUUUACUUCCAAGUGAAUCUUCUCCCUCAUCUGUUGCACGCCACAAUGAACGGCACUCACUGUAUUUACCAUUGUGUUGCAUUUCUUUUUGAUAUGAAUGUAUACUGUAUCGAGAGUCUCAUAAGUUGCAAAAUUGAUUGUAAAAGCCAAUUAAACUUACUGAUGGAAAGUAUUGUUAUGACAGAACUGCAUGCCAGUACACUUUUGAUUGAGAUUUUAUUGUUUCAUUGCUGAUUGGUCACUUUCAGUCCGAAUAUGGACAGGAUUAUUUUUUUUUGGCUUACUGGUCAUCCUCCUUCACAUCAGAAUUAUGGUAUAUUGUAGCCCAUGCAGGUUUUGGUCAAUGUAAAUGGACUUCUACAUGAUGUUAACACAACUUCUUGGUGUUUGAGGUACUGAAAAUGGUCUUUGUCAUGCCCUUUAUAUUUUAUUUUUUAAUAGAUGCAUUUUUUUAGGAAUGUUUUAAUACAUUUAUGAUGGACAAUAUAGUUCUACUAGUUGUGCAGUAUUCUGUAUUUACUUGAGGUAAAUCAUUUUAUAUGCAAUUUGUUAGUUAAUUACAGUUUUAUAAAUAAAAUUGAGUGAUGUCUGGGA